rnacentral:rRNA from 1 species
CGCGUAGGCGGUCUCUUAAGUCAGAUGUGAAAGCCCGGGGCUUAACCUCGGAAGUGCAUUUGAAACUAAGGGACUUGAGUAUGGGAGAGGGAAGUGGAAUUCCUGGUGUAGAGGUGAAAUUCGUAGAUACCAGGAGGAACACCGGUGGCGAAGGCGACUUCCUGGACCAAUACUGACGCUGAGGUGCGAAGGCGUGGGUAGCAAACAGGAUUAGAUACCCUGGUAGUCC